AACGAACGCUGGCGGCAGGCUUAACACAUGCAAGUCGAGCGCCCCGCAAGGGGAGCGGCAGACGGGUGAGUAACGCGUGGGAAUCUACCCAACCCUACGGAAUAACGCAUGGAAACGUGUGCUAAUACCGUAUACGCCCUACGGGGGAAAGAUUUAUCGGGGGUGGAGUGAGCCCGCGUUGGAUUAGCUAGUUGGUGGGGUAAAGGCCUACCCAGGCGACGAUCCAUAGCUGGUCUGAGAGGAUGAUCAGCCACAUUGGGACUGAGACACGGCCCAAACUCCUACGGGAGGCAGAAGUGGGGAAGAUUGGACAAUGGGCGCAAGCCUGAUCCAGCCAUGCCGCGUGAGUGAUGAAGGCCCUAGGGUUGUAAAGCUCUUUCACCGAUGAAGAUAAUGACGGUAGUCGGAGAAGAAGCCCCGGCUAACUUCGUGCCAGCCGCCGCUGUAAGAC
rnacentral:rRNA from 1 species